GGUCUAGUGGCGCACGGGUGCGUAACGCGUGGGAAUCUGCCCUGGGGUCUGAGAUAACCGUUGGAAACGACGGCUAAUACCGGAUGAUGAUGAAAAUCCAAAGAUUUAUCGCCCUGGGAUGAGCCCGCGUCGGAUUAGCUGGUUGGUGGGGUAAAGGCCUACCAAGGCGACGAUCCGUAGCUGGUCUGAGAGGAUGAUCAGCCACACUGGGACUGAGACACGGCCCAGACUCCUACGGGAGGCAGCAGUGGGGAAUAUUGGACAAUGGGCGCAAGCCUGAUCCAGCAAUGCCGCGUGAGUGAUGAAGGCCUUAGGGUUGUAAAGCUCUUUUACCCGGGAUGAUAAUGACAGUACCGGGAGAAUAAGCCCCGGCUAACUCCGUGCCAGCAGCCGCGGUAAU
rnacentral:rRNA from 1 species